ACUGAAAUCUUCCGGGAGGAGCCGGUGACAAGAGUGAUGGCUCUGCCGUCGAGGUCCUGCUGUUCUGCAUCGACGCUGGGAAACUCAAACACUUCAUCCUGGGCUGAACAAGAAGCUCAGCCACUGAUGCAUUGCAUGGACAGCAAGCCUGCAGUACAGGCAUGAUGGGGAUGUACAUGAUAUGGACAGUGCUGCCAGCAGACCUUUUCCUGACCCCAUGCAGUGAUCCACUCCUUCCACAGCACAGAGCUGUAAUUGCCCAACUUUACUGGCAGUGAAGGAAGCAAGAGGGAGCCAGAAUAACUGUGGCAAAGGGAACAGUUGUGGUCAAAUUACACCCAGUGCGGACAGGAGACUCAUCAGCGAAAUUCCAGGUAUUCAGACUGAAUUAGUGCUGACUGUGGAACUACUCAAUAUUGCCCAUCAUCCUCCAUUGAAACCACACACAUGCAAUCUUCAAGCUGGUCUCCAAAAGUGAUGAACUAUUCUUAAAGUCAGGCAAUCAAGCAGAGAAUCUCUGUGAGUCGAUUCUUCUCCACUGAGAGAAGCCCAAGCCCAGUCCCCUAGGAUACCCUGCCAAGAUCCAAGUAUUGUGCUGGUGAGACCUGAACUGCAGAACUCAACAGACCUUCAAGAAGGGAUGUUCUGCUCAAUAUCUUUACAUUUGGUUGUCCACCAUACCUUUGUGACUUCCGAAGACAGAUGAGAAUGAGUCUCUUUCAGGCGAGAAAUAGAGCUAUGGCUAAGACCUCCCACAACUGCCAUCAGUGUGUUGAAGUUCUGGAGAUGAAGGAGUUUCUGUAGAAGAGAUGGAUCAUGAAAAAAUAAAAAUAAGGGUCUUGCUGUAUCACUUAAAACUUCAGCAUUUGAAUGCCAGGUAAUACUAAGGCAUGCAUGAUGAAUAUGAUUAUUACUUCUAUGGAAUCAUUUUUCCCCACGAUUUACUCAACACUUAAGACAUUUUAUUUUGUGCAGUUUUACUUAACAUCCUCAUACAAUGAUACUGUAUAGGAAUGACCUAGUGCUACAAGCAAGAAGCAUAUAAAAAGGAGCUUUCACUUCACUCCAAUACCUGAUCAAGAACAUUAUUGAUGUAAAGAGCAAAAUCUGGGCACUGCUGAAGUCAACAGGAGCUCCUAACAAGAGUCUGAACUGCAACUCAAGAAGCUAACUAUGCAUCAGUUUUCCUAUGUCUUCCUCCUACAUCUACAACUGAUCAAUUCAUAGCACAAGCAGCUAGUUCUGCUAAAUCUUGCUCAUUCUGAUAUUGUUCAUUCCUGUGUGUUCAUGGAUAUUGUUCCACACGGAUGGCUACCACUAGAAUUAGAUUUCCCGAGAACUUCUGGAAAGCAUUCUUCAGCUCUCCCUUAAAUUUGGAUUUUCAGAAGCUUAUGAUGGAAUUUCAGCUUGUGUAGGGAGCUGUAGCAAUACCAGCCAACACUGACUUCUUGGUCAUCUUAGCUGCUAGAACUGCCUGCUAGAAGACAAUAUGACAGCAUAUUCUCUUACACAGUAAAUUAAAUGUAAAAAAAAUGUUUUGUUAAACAAUAUGAACGCCCUUUCCUAGGACAGGGUCCUAUCUGCAAACAACAAAGUUGGAGGCUUCUUACAGAAAUU